rnacentral:rRNA from 1 species
AGAUGGCCAUGCGAGUUAACGUAGCAAUACGUGGCGCACGGCUCAGUAACACGUAGUCAACAUGCCCAGAGGACGUGGAUAACCUCGGGAAACUGAGUCUAAACCGCGAUAAGUGAGGAUUUCUGGAAUGGUUCCUGACUAAAAUCUAUAUGGCCUCUGGAUUGGACUGCGGCCGAUCAGGCUGUUGGUGAGGUAAUGGCCCACCAAACCUGUAACCGGUACGGGCUUUGAGAGAAGGAGCCCGGAGAUGGGCACUGAGACAAGGGCCCAGGCCCUAUGGGGCGCAGCAGGCGCGAAACCUCUGCAAUAGGCGAAAGCUUGACAGGGUUACUCUGAGUGAUGCCCGCUAAGGGCAUCUUUUGGCACCUCUAAAAAUGGUGCAGAAUAAGGGGUGGGCAAGUCUGGUGUCAGCCGCCGCGGUAAUACCAGCACCCCGAGUGGUCGGGACGAUUAUUGGGCCUAAAGCAUCCGUAGCUUGUUCUGCAAGUCCUCCGUUAAAUCCACCUGCUCAACAGAUGGGCUGCGGGGGAUACUACAGGGCUAGGAGGCGGGAGAGGCAAGCGGUACUCAGUGGGUAGGGGUAAAAUCCUCUGAUCCACUGAAGACCACCAGUGGCGAAGGCGGCUUGCCAGAACGCGCUCGACGGUGAGGGAUGAAAGCUGGGGGAGCAAACCGGAUUAGAUACCCGGGUAGUCCCAGCUGUAAACGAUGCAGACUCGGUGAUGGGUUGGCUUUGCGCCAACCCAGUGCCGCNGGAAAGCCGUUAAGUCUGCCGCCUGGGGAGUACGGUCGCAAGACUGGAACUUAAAGGAAUUGGCGGGGGAGCACCACAAGGGUGAAGCCUGCGGUUC